rnacentral:rRNA from 1 species
UGCAGUCGAGCGGACAGAAGGGAGCUUGCUCCCGGAUGUUAGCGGCGGACGGGUGAGUAACACGUGGGUAACCUGCCUGUAAGACUGGGAUAACUCCGGGAAACCGGAGCUAAUACCGGAUAGUUCCUUGAACCGCAUGGUUCAAGGAUGAAAGACGGUUUCGGCUGUCACUUACAGAUGGACCCGCGGCGCAUUAGCUAGUUGGUGGGGUAAUGGCUCACCAAGGCGACGAUGCGUAGCCGACCUGAGAGGGUGAUCGGCCACACUGGGACUGAGACACGGCCCAGACUCCUACGGGAGGCAGCAGUAGGGAAUCUUCCGCAAUGGACGAAAGUCUGACGGAGCAACGCCGCGUGAGUGAUGAAGGUUUUCGGAUCGUAAAGCUCUGUUGUUAGGGAAGAACAAGUGCGAGAGUAACUGCUCGCACCUUGACGGUACCUAACCAGAAAGCCACGGCUAACUACGUGCCAGCAGCCGCGGUAAUACGUAGGUGGCAAGCGUUGUCCGGAAUUAUUGGGCGUAAAGGGCUCGCAGGCGGUUUCUUAAGUCUGAUGUGAAAGCCCCCGGCUCAACCGGGGAGGGUCAUUGGAAACUGGGAAACUUGAGUGCAGAAGAGGAGAGUGGAAUUCCACGUGUAGCGGUGAAAUGCGUAGAGAUGUGGAGGAACACCAGUGGCGAAGGCGA